GACAGAGGUGCCGAGCGUUAGGCGGAAUCACUGGGCUUAAAGCGUGUGUAGGCGGACUCGUAAGUGCUUUGUGAAAUCCCACGGCUCACCCGUGGAACUGCUUGGCAUACUGCGAGCCUUGAGCCACUUAGGGGCAACCGGAACAAACGGUGGAGCGGUGAAAUGCGUAGAUAUCUGGAGGAACACCGGCGGCGAAGGCGGGUUCCUGGGCCUUAACUGACGCUGAGACACGAAAGCUAGGGGAGCAAACAGG
rnacentral:rRNA from 1 species